CAACAGGAUCUUUGGAGAAUCAUCGAAGCAUAUUCGACGACUUCGCUUUAUUUACGAAUAAUUAAUUUUCUAUUAAUUAAUAAUUUUCUCUAGCAUCAUUUCAACAGCUUUCCGAAGAAACCCAUCGUUCAAUAUUCGUCAAGUAUUAUCUUCGAGAGAUCAUCGUCGCAUUCGAUCACUUUAUUAGUUAUUAAGUUUACUUUAAUUAAUAAUUCUCUGUAGCAUUAUUUGAAAAUAUCGUUGAGUAUCAUCAAUAACGAAAUCUUUGGGAGAUCAUCGGAGCAACGUUUUUCAUCGGCUAUAGGAGUAACGGCGAUCUCCCUUUCUCUAAGCGUUUCUUUCGCGGUCCAGAGGCCACGAUAGUACGAGUUGCGAUCGACGAUAACAUAACGCGUCGGUUCGAAUCCAUUUGGAUAUCUCUCUUAGUUUCGGUGUUCUUGUGGGAAACGAAGAGCAAGUUUGGUCUCUAUCGGUACGACCGAUCGUUUAGAUAUAAUUACUAACAAUCCUGAAGGGCUCAUGGUAUAAGCCCUUCUUCGUGAUUGGCCAUUUCCAUGGAUCUUGGUGAUCGUUAACGAGCCUACAAAAGGAGAGAAGAAGGCAGAAGAGAAGAAGAGGAUCGUAAAGGAAGAAACGGAAUGGCUAGGAAGGAACGAAGGAUUGCGAGCGUUCGUUCUGCCAUUCUAUAAAUCCUCCAUACACGGGCUUUCCUCUGGUAGCAAGUAGGAGCCGUCGACGGUGGUCAUUGAAGGGACCAAGAGGAGGCGGUUAACUAAAAAUCUUCUGGUGGCGCGAGCGCGCGCGCACAUACAACGGCCUCGCGCGUAGCAGCCUGUAAUUUUCCUCGACUGGGGUGAGGAGAAGACGAGAAGGAGAGAGACGAGAAGAAGAAGGAGGCUGUCGUCGAAAGGCUCGUCGAGUCGGUUGGAAGAUGCGAGCGACGAAAAGGUGGAGAAAGAGGAGGAGGAGGAGGAGAAGGAGGAGGGGUGAAACGGCAGCAAAAGAGAAUGCGAAUUUCAGAUACAAAAUCGAUCUCGAGUAAACUGAUUGCUUAAUUAUACAAGAGGAAUGAGAAAUGUAAUAAGAGAACGAAAUCGUAAUAGAGGAAUAUGGAUGGACGACGAUACAUUUUCAUGGACAUCUUAAGGAAAUGAUAAAGGGAAGACGUCGAGGGAUUUUAAAAAGCUCUUUCAACGUCAACUCGCCGUACUCCACUACUGUCAACCGGUGUCGUUCUUCGUUCCUUUGAUCGACGUCGUCGAAUUGUUCUUCCUCGUUUUGCAAAAGAAUCCUGAGAUGCGUUGUAGCUCCUCGAAAAAGGGCUUCAGCCGUUAACAGGCGUUCGCACCCAAGAAAGAUCAAUUAGGGGAUAUUUCGAUAAUGGCGUUUUGUGUGUCGCCGUUACCACCACAAUAUUGUAUAGACCGAAGGAUGCAGAAAUCAGACAGGAAAUAAGAAAGCGUAUAGAUAUAUAUAUGUUGAAGCUUUGUGAAAGUCGACUAGAUGGAGAGAAACGGAGAAGAGAAUUAUAGGAGGGUUGUUCGGUAAUACUGUUGACGGUAUACCGACACCGGUGGUCUCUAAGCCUCGGUUCGACGUAGGUAGAAUAGGAGAGAGCGGGAGGGAAAUCGUAUGUACCGAGGGACAAUAGAGGAGCUACGGCCCUCUUAGAGGGAGGUUAAUUGGAUCCCAUCGAUUUCGAUAGUACAAUGAACGGAGAUCAAAUCCUCGUCGAUUCGAGGAGACGACGUAACGGCUUUCCUUCAUCUCUUCUAAUUCUCUCUCUCUCUCCGUUUCUCUCGCAUACUUGUUAUAGGGCAUAUAUUUAUAUGUAUAUACCUACGUUUCAUAUCACCGUUCCUUUCGGCGUAGUCUAGGUAACUCCCUUUUCCAUGUUCGAAGGGUCCUUAUCCCUUACGACUUUGGUUUUCCAGCGCCCUUCCCGUUCAUGGCACUCCUUCUCCAAAGAUACGCUCCUGCGUUCAUCGUCCUGUAUCCCUCGAAUCGCUUGAGGAUGCUUCUCUGAGUUUCUACGCGCGACUCGAGUAUUUUCACGAGGAGAAAGAGAGAGAGAGAGAGAGAGAGAA